rnacentral:lncRNA from 1 species
GAUCAUAGGGUCACUUAUGAUGGUUGCCGAAAUACCUACAUAUUCUAGAAGGACUGUCAAAAGAUUACUUUAACACCGAUGAAGAAGGAAGAUCUGCUUAUACCAAAAUUAGAGACCAGCAUUAACCUUCUGAUAAAUUACUCUUACUUGCAGAAAGUAUUGAAGUUUUCAAACUUGAGGAUGAGUUCUUUCUAUCCUGG